rnacentral:rRNA from 1 species
UACGUAGGGACCGAGCGUUGUCCGGAUUCAUUGGGCGUAAAGAGCUCGUAGGCGGCUUGUUGCGUCGACCGUGAAAACCCGUGGCUUAACUGCGGGCUUGCGGUCGAUACGGGCGGGCUGGAGUUCGGUAGGGGAGACUGGAAUUCCUGGUGUAGCGGUGAAAUGCGCAGAUAUCAGGAGGAACACCGGUGGCGAAGGCGGGUCUCUGGGCCGAUACUGACGCUGAGGAGCGAAAGCGUGGGGAGCGAACAGG